rnacentral:tRNA from 1 species
GGGCCUGUGGGGUAGUUUGGUAUCCUUGUGCCUUGGGGUUGGCAUUAACUCCGGUUCAAAUCCGGGCAGGCCCA